AUCUGGUCACUUGGACCACAUAUCUUGUGUAUCAGGAUUAUAUGUGGAAAAGGCCAUGUCCCAAAAAUGUGUACACACACCCAAGAGAGAUUUAAAACAGAUACAAAUUGAAUGAUUGGAUUUGUAGUUUUUUUAAAGAUGCAAUAAAUUAAGCUUCUUCCUGUACAACUAAAGCUCUGUCCCGCACAGAAGUCGGAUUUCAGUCUGACAAACUGGAGUAAAUACAAAUGGCUCAAAUACUAGGAGCAUGAAGUUACAAAUUGUUAAUGAAUUAUGAAUGCUUUAAGCGCUGUUUAUUGUUUAUUGUUGCAUUAUUUUCCCUUUUUUUCAUUAGCAGUGACAAUACAUCAGAAAUUAGUAGUGUUCACCAACACCAUAGUUCCCAUCCCCAUGAGGACCAUCAGCAUCACCAUGAAAAAUCCCAUCAUCCUAUCUCUGACAGCCAGCAACACCAUCAGCACCGCCGUGAGAAACAUCGUAGAUCCAGUAAGAAGUCCCGCCCUCGAGCUUCAGUCACAUCAUCAAACUCCUCCAUAUCCUCGUCAGGUUCUUCCUCAGGCUCCUCUUCCUCCUCCUCCUCCUCCUCCUCCUCAACAUCAUCGUCUUCAUCCUCAUCUACUUCAGGUUCUUCAUCUUCAUCUACAUCCUCCACUACUUCUUCUUCCUCUUCUAAUUCCUCCUCUUCAUCCUCUUCCAGUUCUUCCUCUUCCUCUUUCUCUUCCUCUGGCUCGUCUUCAUCCUGGUCCUCUGAAAGUAGUCUAGAGAAUGCCAAGUUGGCUAAACCAAAAAAGGGGAUUCGUCGCCCUCAGCAUUCUCAGUCCUGUACGGACAUCUCCAGCAGAAGGAGGGCCUUUGAGGACGAUGAAGAUGAAGAGGAUACUUUGCCGUUACUGGAAGGUAGUGGGCAGGUCCAGAAAUCUGCGAGUGUAAAGAAAAAUGCAUCUAUCAAGAGAAAGACUAAAGGCAGCACCAAGAGACAAUCUGGAAAAGGUUCCCAGCAAAAGAAAAAAGGACAAAUUGGAAACUUUCGGAAGGCUAAGUCUAUGGAGGUGCUGCCGAGGAAGGUAGAGCGGUCGGUGAAAACAGAAUUGAAUGAGAAAGAAAUGGAAAAGAGGAAGCAAGAGGCCAAAAAGAAUAUUCUAAAAGAAAAAAUGAAGUUUUCUGCUUUUCUGAAUGAGAUCACUAGACAGGUACUAAGUCCCUCCAGGCUGCAGACUCUUGGCGUGACUGAUGCUCGUAGACCUACAAGUCCAUCUCCUGUGAGGUCUCCAAACCUUGAAAGCAAAAAACAAAAACACUCUGCUAGCCGGCCUGGAAGUGCAAACUCUGUGGCAUCAAGUGCACCAUCCCACACCAGCAAACAUUCCCGAUUAAGCAAGCGCUCCAGCCGACGUUCCCAUACCUGCAGGGUUUCUCAGUCAAGCAAACACUCAAGCAAGCAGCAUGUUCAUCAGCACCACCACCAUCAGCACCACCCCAAGCAUCUUCACCAUAGUAUAAGCAGCCACACUAGUACCAGCAGUGGAUCAUCUAAAAGCCAUUCCGUAAAGUCAGGACACAGCCAAAAGGGAAAUAAGGAGCACCACAGUAAGUCUGGUGGUCAUUUGACAGAUGGGAACAGCACCGACACAGAGAAACACCAUUCCCAUCAAGAUCACCAUUCUCCUUCACACCACCACCACCACCAUCACCAUCAUGGAACUCAUCAAAGCCAUUCACCACAUCAUCAUUCUUCGCAUGUGGCAACCCAUCAUCAUUCCCACUUUGAAUCCCAUCACCAUCACCCUACUGCUGGAUCACAUCACCAUAGUGAUCACCACAACCCACAUCAUCAUCAUCAUCAUUCUUCUCAUUUGGAGGCACAUCACCAUCACCCCCAUUCAGAAUCUCACCACCAUCGCUCACCCUCUCCAUCACACCACCACCACCACCAUCAUCAUGGUGAUCAUCAAAGCCCAUCACCACACCAUCAUUCCCAUUCUCCAUCACACCAUCACCACCAUCAUCAUGGUGAUCAUCAAAGCCCAUCACCACAUCAUCAUUCUCCUCACUCAGAAACACACCAUCAUUCACUGACUUCACCACAUCACCACCACCACCAUCAUCAUCAUGGUGAUCACCGAAGCCCUUCCCCAAGUCAAGGUUCUGCACACUCUGAACCACACCAUCAUUCCCAUUUGGAAUCUCACCACCACCACCACCAUCACCAUGGUGAUCAUCAAAGCCCAUCACCACAUCAUCAUUCUCCUCACUCAGAAACUCACCAUCAUUCCCAUUCAGAAUCUCACCACCAUCAACAUCAUCAUCACAAUGAUCACAGAAGCCCAUCUCCACAUCAUCAUUCUUCACACUCGGAAACUCACCAUCAUUCCCACCAGUCUUCACCACAUCACCAUCACCAUCAUCAUAGUGAUCACAAAAGCCUAUCUCCACACCAUCAUUCCCACCAGUCUUCACCACAUCACCACCACCAUCAUCAUGGUGAUCACAGAAGCCCAUCUCCACACCAUCAAACGCUACAUUCAGAAUCUCACCACCAUGAUUCACUUUCUUCACCACAUCAUCACCAAAAUCAUCAUGGUGAUCACAGAAGCCUAUCCCCAAGUCAAGGUUCUACACACUCCGAAACUCACCAUCAUUCCCAUUCAGAUUCUCAACACCAUCAAUCACAUUCUCCACUGCCUCACCACCAUCACAGUGAUCACAGAAGCCCAUCUCCACUACAUCAUUCACCACAUCACCAUCACCACCAUCAUCAUGCUGAUCACCAAAGCCCAUCUCCAAGAAAUCAUUCUCCACACUCAGAAACUCAACAUCAUUCUCUUUCAGAAUCUCACCACCAUGAUUCACUGUCUUCACCACAUCAUCACCAUCAUCACCAUGGUGAUCACCGAAGUCCAUCGCCACACCAUCAUUCUCCACAUCUGGAAACACAACAUCACUCUCAUUCAGAAUCUCACCACCAUCGUUCACCUUCUCCUUUGCACCCCCAUCACCAUCACCACCAUGAUCACAGAGACAACCGAAGUCCAUCCCCUGGACAUCAAUCUCCACACUCUGAAGCACAUCAUCACCAAUCCGAUUCACAAUCACAUCAUCACGCCUCCCUUACAGAUCCUAAUCACCAUUCCCCUCAUCCUGAAUCGCAUCAUCAUCAUCAUCAUUCAUCUUACCCUGAAUCCCACCAUCACCAUUCCCAUCAUCACCAUUCCCACCAUCAUGAUGAUACUCAUCAGCAUCCAGAGCAUCACCAUCACCAUUCUCAUCACGAUUCUGAAGUUCACUCCCAAGAAGGCCAUCAAGAAGGUCAGCACCAUUCAGAUGCUCACCACCACUCCCACUCCCAUAGCCCAACUCCCUCCGAUGAUCAUCACCAACAUUCCCAUUCUGGAGGUCACCACCACCAUCAUCAUCACCACCCUCAUUCUGUAGAGACAGCUCACCCUCAUAGCCCAUCCCACUCUGAAGGGCACCAUCAUCAUCAUCACCAUUCCCACCCAGAUGCCCACCAAUCUGAAACCCAUCAUCAUCACCACCACCACCAUCACGAGCACCCGCAUUCUACCCAUCAUCAUCAUUCCCAUUCGGAAUCUCACACUCACUCAAAUAAGGAGAAUGAGCACCACCAUAACCAUGAGAAUCCAGAAUCUCACCAACAUUUGCAUUCUGAAUCCCAUCACCAUUCCCAUGCAGAAUCCCAUCCCCAUCAUCAAGAACAUCCAGAAUCUCACCACCAUCAUCAUGAACAUCCUGAAUCUCACCACCAUCANNNNNNNNNNNNNNNNNNNNNNNNNNNNNNNNNNNNNNNNNNNNNNNNNNNNNNNNNNNNNNNNNNNNNNNNNNNNNNNNNNNNNNNNNNNNNNNNNNNNAACAUCCUGAAUCUCACCACCAUCAUCAUGAACAUCCUGAAUCUCACCACCAUCAUCAUGAACAUCCUGAAUCUCACCACCAUCAUCAUGAACAUUCAGAAUCUCACCACCAUUCCCAUCCUGAAUCACCUCCAAAUCAUUCCCAUUUGGAAUCAUCUCACCAUCACCAUGAACAUCCAGAUUCCCACCACCAUUCCCAUUCUGAAUCCUACCAUCGUUCCCAUAUGGAUACCCAAACUCAACAUCAUCAAUCCCACACUGAGGAGCAUCACCAACACAGGGAUCAUCCCAGUCCUCUUCAACACUCUCCUGUUGGCCAGAGGACCACCUCCCCGCAUUCCAGCAGUUCCGAUUCCUCUGGAAAAACCACAAGCCUUGGCACCCUUGAUGAUCAGUCUACUGCCAGCUCCAAGGGAACACCAUUGCCUCUCAUGGAGAAAGGCUCUGAACUUGAAAGGAUCAAAAUGCUUCAGGAACAGAAUGAAGAUCUUCACAACUCUUUGCGGCAGACAGCAACACGUAUGGAAUGCUUGGGAGCUGAGUUUAUUACUGGACAUCAGCUGCUGGAAUCUGAGCUUCAAAUGACUCGAGUGGAGCUCAGCAGUAUGAUGGACAAGUUCACAAGGUCAAGGACCAAUAUAUUGUAUUGUUCUAUUGAAUGCACAAAUGCCCACAACAGACUGUUCUGUUCUCAAAUCAAUUUUCACUUGUUAACAAGUGAGUCAAUUGUACUCUCCUUGCCUUCUUUUUUAGGCUUCAGGAUAACUAUUCUACCACUCAGCAGACCAAUCAUCUACUAGAGAAGAAACUACACUGUGUGGUAAAGCAUAUCAUUUUCAUUUUUGCUUGGUUUAUUUGUCAGAUUUAUGUCAACUACCAUCCGUACGAUACACUAUAUGCUAAAUGUUUGUAGCCAAUCUUUUUACUGCAAUUCUUAUACUAUUAAUUUAACAGAAAUUGAAAAUAAGGGUAUUAAUUUGGAGUACCCCCAUCCAGGCCCGUUGCAAAAGAACAGGCAAACUAGGCAAUUGUGUAAGGCCUUCAAACAGCGAUUGGAUAUUAUGUGAAUAUUAUGUGACUUCAAAUAUGGACAGUAUAAGACAGUUAUCAAAAUCACCCUCAAGGUGGCCUCUCCCAC
ensembl:lncRNA